UAGGAGAAGGAAAGUUUUUAGAGUGUGGUAGUUGUCUCACCUUUGUUAUGUUUUUUUGUUGUAUUACUAUACUUUUUUUUUUUAUUUAGCAAAAUAUAGUUUUUGUUUUUCUCUUGUCAACUGCCCUAAUAGCGCAUGCUGCAUUUUCUUGACCACCAGUUUUUCCCUGCAUACCUUUUUUUUUGUUUGGGGUUCUCUUUGUUAUUGCCAGUUUUUUUGUUGAAAGGAUUUACAACAACUGCAUUGCAGAUUCACAGAACCAGCUCUGGAUCAAGAGCAGCCAUGAUAUGAGUCCGCACCACAAGGGUCAGAUGACUUCUUGAAGUCUGAUGCUGGAGAGGAUUACUGAAACGUAAAAGAAGAAAAAUUACAAACUUCUGUUAAAAUGGGAGAAGACAGUGACAACAAACGUGGAUAGAAAAAUAUUGGCUACUGAAGAAAGAAUAAGAGUUCAUAUGCACCGGAAGUCCAUCUCCCCAUAUCCUUGAUUAGAAGAGGAGCGAUGUUUGUGGAAGUUGCAGGCACCGAUCAUGAACGAAUGUCCGGAGUAGUUGUCAGGAGGAAGCCCAGCACGAAGGUGACACAGAUGAAGAAGGUCGCAGAACCAGUUUCUGGACACGACCUAUCCCCGCUGGGUUAAGAAACAAGGGAUCCUGGCUGCUGGCCACCAGACGCAGUGACAGAUAGCUGGAAAGAGCAGAAACAGGACAAAUAAUACAGUGUGUGUUUGUAUCCGAGGAAGAUGAGAUGGGGGAGGGAUAGUGAUUCCGAGCAAGCGAGAGUGAAACUGUAGUCCUGACAAGUAUUGGCAUAUGGUGGAAAGGGAAAGAUUGUGAUUUAAAAAACAAUAAGUGAUUAAUUUUAUAAUGGAAGAUUCUGAAGUAAGGCAUGAAUGUGACAUGGAGCAAUAUUUGGUGCAAGACUGCCACCCUGUGUUAUAGGCAACUCUGGUGUUUUGUGAAACUGAUUUAUGAGAUUGACUGCGGAUUCAUAUAUCUGGAUGUUGGGAGAUGCUUAAUUUAGUACAGUAUUAGGUCCUUGAACUGUGGACAUGGAUAUGGUAGGGGAAAUUAAAACAAGAGAGUAAGUCAGAGAUUGUCGCAAUUAAAUGUUAUAACCUUUUUUGACCAUUUAAAUUACGACUGUGACAAUAAUAGAUACAACUCAAACAGUGCUGAAGAUUGUUCUGUGGAAAGAUGGGAAGAGAAUUCGGAGGGCCAAUUCCUGUACAACCACUUGGAACAUGCAAUACCACCGAAGCCCCGUGAGGGGGCAGCAUCGGUGCUUGUAGGAAAAUUAUGAUGACCCAGUAGAGAGAGGACUUCGUGUUUAGUACAGGAUUUUCUGUCCUGAAAGUAUUUUAAGACAUCUGAAAUACGACGUAAUUUGUCUUGGGGAAGACGUGCCUCCAUUCCAUUGGAGUCAUUUUCAAUCCCAAGAAAUUCCAGGCAGGUGGUAGAUCCCAAGGUUUUCUCCUCUGAUAGAGAAACUCCGAGUUCAGAAAAUGUGGUUCUUAAAAAAAACGGACAGAAUGAGGAAGGGGCUGAUCCUUAAAGUCCACUAAUAGAAAGUUGUCUAAUGGAUGGAGCAUGAAUGGCAAUUUGAAAUAAUUAACCCUUUGCUGCUGACGCGCUCUAAUUUCGUAACUUUUGUUACGAUGACGAAACAUGAUAUAUCUCGGCUGUCCGAUCAGCUAUCUUGUUUAUUUUUUUUUCAAUGGGGCAUAGCCAUGGCUACGAUGGAUAUGUAAUUGGUUUAGGGUUGCAGUAGGUGUGGCUUUUUUAUUUCUGUUUCAUUUUUGACUGCCAUUUUCAGGCUUCAAUGGAAAAUUGUAUUGACACUCACCUGUUUGAAAUGUCUAUAUCUCCCGUUCUACAAGCCCAAAAGUGCUGAUCUAUAACUCAUCCGAAAGCUAAGAACUGGGACUAACUAGUUGUUUUUUUUAUUUUUUCAUGUUAUUUCAAGUUUACUUUAUAUAUGCUUUUUAAAAAAAUACUUCCGGAAUGUUUUUCGCCCCGCUGUGUGUCUGUGUGCGUAUGAGUGCAGCUGCAGGCCAUGUCAGAUGCCGACUGAGACAAACAACUAGUUACUGAAAAGACAACUGAGAUAGUCAUCUUAUAAAUGUUUUACUGUUAUUUUUAAUUAUAAAUGUUUUUAUUUUAUUUUUUGUCCUGUUUUGAAAAUGUUUCUCUGGAUGGAGGCGAAAGUAAAUAUGACCUCAGUCUGAUCUCUAGCUAGUUAACUUUGUAUAUUUGCUGCGUCAGUGUUAUUUUAUCAUUGUUUUGUUUAUUAUUAUUGGUGUACUUCGUUUCUGUUUGUGUAAAUAAUGGAUAAGUAUUUUGCUGUACUCAUUCUUUUAUUAUUAUUUAGCUGUUUAUUAUUGGUAGUUUUUUUAACCUAUACAGUAUUCGCAAGUUUCUUCUUAAAAAAAAAAAAGUAAUAAUAAACAUACUCAACAUCUUGUGUAGCAUACAUACUGAGACCUCUACACCUAAAUAAUUAACUUUAAUCACAAAUGGGAUUAUAUUAUAUUUCUAGGUUUCUUCAGUUUCACUUUCAGUUCUACAUCUGCCAUUCCAGCUCUUUUAUGCACAUUUUUUUUACAUUACAAAACCUUAUGUAGCUCUGCAACUGUACAAGAAAUUUCACUUCUGAUUAAAUAUUUGAAAUCCCUCAUAAAAUUGCACAUCUCCCAUAUACUCUUCUUUCUUCUAAAUUGUUUGGAAAAAUAUGAAAAUGUGCACAUUUGUGAAAUUAUUAAUAUGCCAUGUUUCAUUUUUUUUAAAGGUGUUGCUUAUAAGAUAAAAUCUAUAAAACACCCUACAAAAAAAACAGAUAGGUCUACUCAGUACCUUUCGGUUGAUAUUUGGGGUUUUAAUUUGUGAUUUAUGGUUAUUAAACUACAAGCGUUACAAUAGAAAGUUGUUGGAUACAUGCACAAUUUACAGUCAUUCCUUGUAGACAGCAUAUGGUCAAGUAGAAUCCAUCACAAUGUUUCAGAUAGUGAAUUGAAGAUGUGAGGACUGCUCCUGCAACCAAACGUGAGGCGAACUGAGAAAUAGAAUUGUUGUUUCCAUUGAACUCCAAAUAGAUGCCAUUGGGAAGGGUGAAUGGGGAUGACUUGAAUGCAUCUGCGAUAUCAGCCUUGGUCAGCCAGGCCCCUUUACCCGCUGUUUUGAUAAAAUGGAUAGCAUCAUCGAUUCUGGUAUAAUGUAGAGAAAACUAAUCAGGGGGAAUUAGGUCAUUAAUGCUGGAAACAGAACCUGAAUGGAGAGAGGAUAGAUCGAUGACUAACCUUUCUUUCCUGAAUAUUUGCGAGUUGCGACCCCCAGUGGACUGAUACGGAGUGAGGGGAAGGGGGGGUUCAGGGAAUGGGCAGAUCAUUAACCUUUUUGAAGUUUCUUUAAGCAAAAUCAACAGAAUCUGAAUCGUUUAGUGCAGAUCUUCGAUUAUUGCAAACGUUGGAAACAGUGGGAGGAGUUAAAAUACCAGUGGGGAACCCUUCAUUCAGACCUGAAAUAAUAUAACUCAAACUAUCAGGAUGAUCUGCGAGAGCCACCACCAUCGCUACUGUAUUAAUGGGGGUGGACGGACGGCUUAGUCAUUUCUGCGCAAACGCAGUUCGGGCGAGUGUGGGACAGAGGCUUUCGCUGUGGCUAUCGCCGCAGAAGCUACAGAUGUGAAGAAAGUUACACAGGGAAUAUGCACAGACGUUCUCAUUAAAGUUAUUGCAUAUUUGCCUCCCGCUGGAAAAGAGAACCUGUCGGCCUUGUUUUUCAUUUGAUUGGGCUGGUUGAAUGAGCAGAGAAGGAUUAUAAGGACCCCGAAACUGGCAAGGUAAAUUAACUGAAAACUGAGGUUGGAAGAAACUGCUGCAUGGAACUUCAGGCGAGACAUAGGAUUGCAUUUGCUGGUUUAUGGACU